AAACAAUUCUCUACUAUGACAUACAGCUACCUAUGUCCCCCAGCUCUGCUCAGCUUUCAACAGACUGACUACAUUAAAGAAUAUAUAGAAAGCAAGCAUUCUCAGUGAUGAAGAAAGGUGGGAAGACUCUAAUGAAAGAAGAGCACAUGCAGUGAUGAAGUACAUAAGAAUAUGUGAUUUCAGGAUUGCUGCAAUAUAAAACGAGCCAUGGAGUAGCCACUGAUGAGAGUGAGAAGGAAUGCCAAUGAAAUCCUGACAGGAGGA